UACGUAGGGCGCAAGCGUUAUCCGGAAUUAUUGGGCGUAAAGAGCUCGUAGGCGGUUUGUCGCGUCUGCUGUGAAAACCCGAGGCUCAACCUCGGGCCUGCAGUGGGUACGGGCAGACUAGAGUGCGGUAGGGGAGAUUGGAAUUCCUGGUGUAGCGGUGGAAUGCGUAGAUAUCAAGAGGAACACCUGAGGUGAAGACGGGUUGCUGGGCUGACACUGACGCUGAGGCGACGAAGCCAGGGGAGCAAACGGG
rnacentral:rRNA from 1 species